AAUAAUAAAGAUAAGAAAAAUAAAAUUCUAGUAGACUUAUAAAUAUGUCUACCAAACCGUAAAUAUUUUAACCUAACCAGAUUUUAACCAAAAUAAUUUAACUUAACCAAAAUUAAACCAUAAAAGUUUAACCUAACCGGAUGUAGUACCCAACAUAUAAAUACAUUUUAUUUUGUGAAAUUUGGUAAAAACACAAAACCUAGCGCCGUUGCGGCUCUCUCUUCCUUCUUCUCCCACUCGCCGUCCUCUCCGAAUCACCAUCACCACCGUCCUUGUUCAUCUCUCAGCCAUCUCCACCUCGUCACUACCGUUCCUCUACUCCUGUUCAAGAGUCUCGGGAGUGAGGACAGUGGUGAGCCGGAGAUGAGUAGCGGCGGUGAGGAGACAGAGCUUAACUUCGACUUCCAUGGAGUUCUUCCGUGUGUUCGAACUCGAGGGAUGAGAUUGAGUUGGAUUCAAAGGAAACGAAGACGCGUUGCGACGGAGGGUGGGGUCGUGUCCAUGAGCUUGAAGUGUCCUGAGUGAAUAUAGCUGCUGAACCACAUUUUCCAAAACUGUACGUUAAGGCUUGGGCAUUGAUGAAUAACUGCCACAAACCAGCUGAGGACGACAUUGAAAGUUUGAAUAUAGAGUAACCGAAGAGAUUCAAAAUGAUCGUCUCACAAACAAUACUCAUGAAGCAUGUCUCCCAAUUCAUGAAAACUGUAGGGUUUUAACAGCUCAUGGGUCAAAUACAAUCGUGUAUGUAACAGAUGAUCAUGUUGAUAUCAGUACAAGUAACCGAGACACUGGGAGAUCAGCAGUAGAGUUGUCUUUAUAUCGUCUUCUAAGCAGUAGAGUUUGUUAUUGAUGAAAACUGAGUUGUCUUGUUUUACUUAAUCAGAAAAGCUCAAAAAAGAUUUGAGUAAACUAUUUUGUAUCAGAAUGAUGUAUUGUUCGUGUAACAAAUUUGUGUAGUUUGCUUCUAGGAGAUUUCUCUUAUAAUUUUAUCUAAAAGAAGACUAAUAUUGAAGUCUACUCAGCAUAAAGUAGACUUGGUUAAUACACUUGAUGUUUUGUAUUUGUCA